ACCUCGAGUUUUAUGAAGAAGUUGAGCAAGAGCAUGAAAGCACUGCAUCUAGCAAAACCAAUGUAUGUCCAGCUCCAAAUCCAAGAGCAAAAGGCAAGGGAAAGCUUGGGGCAGCUAGUAAUGUGAUAGAUGUUUGAACUUUGUUCAAUUCAUUUAGUUGUGUGCACAUUUUCAAUGAAGUGUCAAAUUGUGAACUGUAAUGGAUUAUUAAAUUAUGCAGAUUUGGUCUUCUUUCAGUUCUUUGAGUUGCAGUUUGCUUAUUAUAUGAUGUUUUUCUUCUUGUUUAGGUUUAGUUGCAGCUUGCUUUAAUGGAAAUGUAGAAAUGCAUUAGCUUUAGUUGCAACUUGCUUUGAUACUUUGGUCUUCUUUGAGUUGUAGCUUGCUUUAAUGGAAAUGUAGAAAUGCAAAACAGGGAAAUUGAUGAAA